rnacentral:rRNA from 1 species
CCUACGGGUGGCAGCAGUGGGGAAUAUUGGACAAUGGGCGAAAGCCUGAUCCAGCCAUGCCGCGUGUGUGAAGAAGGCCUUCGGGUUGUAAAGCACUUUCAGUGGGGAAGAAAGCCUUGGGGCUAAUACCCUCGAGGAAGGACAUCACCCACAGAAGAAGCACCGGCUAACUCCGUGCCAGCAGCCGCGGUAAUACGGAGGGUGCGAGCGUUAAUCGGAAUUACUGGGCGUAAAGCGCGCGUAGGCGGUCUGAUAAGCCGGUUGUGAAAGCCCCGGGCUCAACCUGGGAACGGCAUCCGGGACUGUCAGGCUAGAGUGCAGGAGAGGAAGGUAGAAUUCCCGGUGUAGCGGUGAAAUGCGUAGAGAUCGGGAGGAAUACCAGUGGCGAAGGCGGUCUUCUGGACUGACACUGACGCUGAGGUGCGAAAGCGUGGGUAGCAAACAGGAUUAGAUACCCUGGUAGUC